GUAGACGACGAGGUUGAUAGGUUCGAGGUGGAAGUGCGGUAACGUAUGCAGCUGACGAAUACUAAUCGGUCGAGGGCUUAACCA
rnacentral:rRNA from 1 species